GAUGAACGCUGGCGGCGUGCCUAAUACAUGCAAGUCGAGCGAACAGAUGAGGAGCUUGCUCCUCUGACGUUAGCGGCGGACGGGUGAGUAACACGUGGAUAACCUACCUAUAAGACUGGGAUAACUUCGGGAAACCGGAGCUAAUACCGGAUAAUAUAUUGAACCGCAUGGUUCAAUAGUGAAAGACGGUUUUGCUGUCACUUAUAGAUGGAUCCGCGCCGCAUUAGCUAGUUGGUAAGGUAACGGCUUACCAAGGCAACGAUGCGUAGCCGACCUGAGAGGGUGAUCGGCCACACUAGAAGUGAAACACGGUCCAGACUCCUACGGGAGGCAGCAGUAGGGAAUCUUCCGCAAUGGGCGAAAGCCUGACGGAGCAACGCCGCGUGAGUGAUGAAGGUCUUCGGAUCGUAAAACUCUGUUAUUAGGGAAGAACAAAUGUGUAAGUAACUAUGCACGUCUUGACGGUACCUAAUCAGAAAGCCGCGGCUAACUACGUG
rnacentral:rRNA from 1 species